rnacentral:rRNA from 1 species
GACGAACGCUGGCGGCGUGCUUAACACAUGCAAGUCGAACGGUGAAGCGCCUUCCUUUUUGGUGGGUGUGGAUGAGUGGCGAACGGGUGAGUAACACGUGAGUAACCUGCCCCCUUCUUCUGGAUAACCGCAUGAAAGUGUGUCUAAUACGGGAUAUUCUGGGUCUGUCGCCUGCUGGGUCUGGGAAAGAUAUUGUUUCGGUGGGGGAUGGGCUCGCGGCCUAUCAGCUGGUUGGUGGGGUGAUGGCCUACCAAGGCGGUGACGGGUAGCCGGCCUGAGAGGGUGGCCGGUCACACUGGGACUGAGACACGGCCCAGACUCGUACGGGAGGCAGCAGUGAGGACUAUUGGACAAUGGGCGCAAGACUGAUGCAGCGAGGCCGCGUGAGGGAUGGAGGCCUUCGGGUUGUGAACCGCUUUCGCCAGUGAAGUAGGGCUGCCUCGCUUGUGGGUGGGUUGACGGUAGCUGGAGAAGAAGCUCCGGCUAACUACGUG